CUCUUUGGACGUUGAAAUAGCUCUACAAAAUAACAUUUUGUUUCUUUAAAGUAUAAACUAACCAGAAACACAUGAUUUUAGUUUCCCAUAAAUCACAGAGGGUUUUGCCUAAGAGAAAAAUGCACAAGAAAACACAUCAUGGAUAAACAGUUUAAGGCAGUAAUCUGGUUGCACAAAUAGGUCAAUGGUUGGGGAAGGUGACGUGCAAAUUUGCCUUCAGGUGGAGCAUGUAGCGGCAUACUAGCGUCAGCCCACAGCUGGUGAGAGAUGGGACGCCAGCAAUGUCAUUGUGUUAAGGGGAAGCUGGUCCGGUUGUCCUUCUGGCGCCCUGGUGGUGAGCCUGGUGAGUGCGUCGUCAGAAUCUGGCAGGAAUGGCAGUGCAAUCUGUGCUCAGUGAUGGAAAUUUCUCCAGUGCAGUUUCUAAGAGUCGCGGUGAAUUCAUCCAUUUGGUGUUCAGUGUUCUCCACAGCGGGCUGAAGAGGCCGGAGUUGUCAGGCAAGAGACUGACUUGUCUGCUUGUACUUGAAAUGGAUUCGAAGAAACACAUGCAUUUGUCGAGGGGAAAACGCUUUCAAGGAGAGACCAUUUGAUGCUAAAAGGACCAUUUGAUGCUCUUUUAACCCUCUUGGUUUUAUUCAACUCCUUUCAUUACUUUCUGUUCCUGGCACCUUACCGAAGGAAGAAUAUGCCAAGAGUUUGAAUGAUGAAAGAGUAUUCUAUAUUUUUAGCUAUAUUUGCAUUUUACAAGUUUAUUUGAAAGAUAGUUUUGUGCAGUUAAUCUUUUUUUCUGUUUAAAUUAUUUUGAAAAUCUUAAAAAUAUCAUUUUUAGCCUUUUAAAUAAAUAUCAAAAUGCCCAUUACA
rnacentral:lncRNA from 1 species